CCACCCAUAGACAAUAUAUUUUUACCCUGCAAUUCACACCCUAAUUAGUGACGCUCACAAUCGUCUCCCUCCCCGCCACUUGCAUCUCCAUUCUCCCAAACCCUAAUCAACUCUAUUCACUUCCCUCAAACAUAUACAUAGAAGAGGUGGAGCUGGAGUUAGCUAGAGAAACAUAUACAGAGAAGAGGCGGGAUAACAGGGGCUGCCGGAACCUUCUGUUCCCGCCGUCGGUUCUAUCCACCACGGUUCAGGCUUCAGCCACACCACCCCGCGGAGCUUCUUAUGCCACCGUUGACCGUCGAGGUAAUAGGGGCUGCCGGAACCUUCUGUUCCCGCCGUCGGUUCUAUCCACCGCCGUUCAAGCUUCAGCCACACCACCCCGCGAAGCCUCUUAUGCCACCGUCGACCGUCGAGCGUACCCAUAUGUUCACAAUUGUUCAUCCGGAGAAUCGAGUUUAUGCAAAUUUAGAAGGUGAUGCUUUGCAUAGUCUAAGGACUAACUUAGAAGAUCCAAAUAGUGUGCUCCAAAGUUGGGAUCCGACCCUUGUAAACCCUUGCACAUGGUUUCAGCCACACCACCGUUCAGGCUUCAGCUACACCACCCCGCGGAGCUUCUUAUGCCACCGUCGACCGUUGAGGUAACAUGGGUUCUCUUUGCACCAAACUCCGUCCAUGUUGUCUAGCUUCAUCACAAGAUUCAUCGGUUACCGAAGAUCCUAAAGCUGGGAACAAGGAUGAGGAUGCGAGUGACCCAAAUGCAUUUAAAGAAUACACAUUGGAGCAACUUAAAAACGCGACAUCUGGUUUCGCUGUUGAGAACAUUGUUUUCUGAGCAUGGUGAAAAGGCUCCAAAUGUCGUUUAUAAAGGGAAGCCCGAGAAUCAAACGCGGAUAGCUGUAAAGCUGUUUACUGGAUCUGCUUGGCCUGAUGCUCGACAAUUUUUGGCUUGCCAAACCAUAGAUUAGUACUAAAGGUCGGUUUAUGCAAUGGAACUCGACUACAGGUCUUAUCAUUGCGCGAUCGCGUUGUUGAAGCACGAAUCUUAUCUGGAAGUAAUAUUGGCGCUCGAACGUUUAUCCCUAGAUUUCGAUUAAUACCGUCAGACAAAAGGAUUCCGUUUAAAUUUCAAAGAAGAGAGCUUCCUCUCGUUGUUUGUUUUGCCAUGACUAUUAAUAAAAGUCAAGGACAAUCCUUGUGUAAGGUUGGAUUGUUUCUAAAACAACCAGUUUUUACACAUGGCCAGCUAUAUGUGGCAUUAUCAAGGGUAAAAAGCAGAGAUGGACUCAAGUUAUUGAUACUUGAUGAGGAUGGUCAAAUUACAAACAAAACUACAAAUGUCGUGUACAAAGAAGUUUUUAGAGAUUUGUAGCAUGUAACGUUUACCUUUAUAUUAUAUUAUUCGACACUUUUGAAUACCUUAAUCCUAAA